AACGAACGCUGGCGGCAUGCCUAACACAUGCAAGUCGAACGAGACCUUCGGGUCUAGUGGCGCACGGGUGCGUAACGCGUGGGAACCUGCCCUUAGGUUCGGAAUAACUCCCCGAAAGGGGUGCUAAUACCGGAUAAUGUCUUCGGACCAAAGAUUUAUCGCCUUUGGAUGGGCCCGCGUUGGAUUAGCUAGUUGGUAGGGUAAAAGCCUACCAAGGCGACGAUCCAUAGCUGGUCUGAGAGGAUGAUCAGCCACACUGGGACUGAGACACGGCCCAGACUCCUACGGGAGGCAGCAGUGGGGAAUAUUGGACAAUGGGCGAAAGCCUGAUCCGGCAAUGCCGCGUGAGUGAUGAAGGCCUUAGGGUUGUAAAGCCCUUUUACCCGGGAUGAUAAUGACAGUACCGGGAGAAUAAGCUCCGGCUAACUCCGUG
rnacentral:rRNA from 1 species